rnacentral:rRNA from 1 species
CCUACGGGUGGCAGCAGUCGAGAAUCAUUCACAAUGGGGGAAACCCUGAUGGUGCGACGCCGCGUGGGGGAAUGAAGGUCUUCGGAUUGUAAACCCCUUUCAUGUGGGAGCAAAUUAAAAAGAUAGUACCACAAGAGGAAGAGACGGCUAACUCUGUGCUAGCAGCCGCGGUAAUACAGAGGUCUCACGCGUUGUUCGGAAUCACUGGGCGUAAAGCGUGCGUAGGCUGUUUCGUAAGUCGUGUGUGAAAGGCGCGGGCUCAACCCGCGGACGGCACAUGAUACUGCGAGACUAGAGUAGUGGAGGGGGAACCGGAAUUCUCGGUGUAGCAGUGAAAUGCGUAGAUAUCGAGAGGAACACUCGGGGCGAAGGCGGGUUCCUGGACAUUAACUGACGCUGAUGCACGAAGGCCAGGGGAGCGAAAGGGAUUAGAUACCCUUGUAGUC